rnacentral:rRNA from 1 species
AGAACCCCGGCGAGGGGAGUGAAAAAGAACCUGAAACCGUGUACGUACAAGCAGUGGGAGCACGCUUAGGCGUGUGACUGCGUACCUUUUGUAUAAUGGGUCAGCGACUUAUAUUCUGUAGCAAGGUUAACCGAAUAGGGGAGCCGAAGGGAAACCGAGUCUUAACUGGGCGUUAAGUUGCAGGGUAUAGACCCGAAACCCGGUGAUCUAGCCAUGGGCAGGUUGAAGGUUGGGUAACACUAACUGGAGGACCGAACCGACUAAUGUUGAAAAAUUAGCGGAUGACUUGUGGCUGGGGGUGAAAGGCCAAUCAAACCGGGAGAUAGCUGGUUCUCCCCGAAAGCUAUUUAGGUAGCGCCUCGUGAAUUCAUCUCCGGGGGUAGAGCACUGUUUCGGCAAGGGGGUCAUCCCGACUUACCAACCCGAUGCAAACUGCGAAUACCGGAGAAUGUUAUCACGGGAGACACACGGCGGGUGCUAACGUCCGUCGUGAAGAGGGAAACAACCCAGACCGCCAGCUAAGGUCCCAAAGUCAUGGUUAAGUGGGAAACGAUGUGGGAAGGCCCAGACAGCCAGGAUGUUGGCUUAGAAGCAGCCAUCAUUUAAAGAAAGCGUAAUAGCUCACUGGUCGAGUCGGCCUGCGCGGAAGAUGUAACGGGGCUAAACCAUGCACCGAAGCUGCGGCAGCGACACUAUGUGUUGUUGGGUAGGGGAGCGUUCUGUAAGCCUGUGAAGGUGUGCUGUGAGGCAUGCUGGAGGUAUCAGAAGUGCGAAUGCUGACAUAAGUAACGAUAAAGCGGGUGAAAAGCCCGCUCGCCGGAAGACCAAGGGUUCCUGUCCAACGUUAAUCGGGGCAGGGUGAGUCGACCCCUAAGGCGAGGCCGAAAGGCGUAGUCGAUGGGAAACAGGUUAAUAUUCCUGUACUUGGUGUUACUGCGAAGGGGGGACGGAGAAGGCUAUGUUGGCCGGGCGACGGUUGUCCCGGUUUAAGCGUGUAGGCUGGUUUUCCAGGCAAAUCCGGAAAAUCAAGGCUGAGGCGUGAUGACGAGGCACUACGGUGCUGAAGCAACAAAUGCCCUGCUUCCAGGAAAAGCCUCUAAGCAUCAGGUAACAUCAAAUCGUACCCCAAACCGACACAGGUGGUCAGGUAGAGAAUACCAAGGCGCUUGAGAGAACUCGGGUGAAGGAACUAGGCAAAAUGGUGCCGUAACUUCGGGAGAA